UACGUAGGGAGCGAGCGUUGUCCGGAUUUAUUGGGCGUAAAGAGCUCGUAGGCGGUUUGGUAAGUCGGGUGUGAAAGCUCCGGGUUCAACUCGGAGAGGUCACUCGAUACUGCCAUGACUUGAGUCCGGUAGGGGGGUGUGGAAUUCCUGGUGUAGCGGUGAAAUGCGCAGAUAUCAGGAAGAACACCAAUGGCGAAAACAGCUCUCUGGGACGGUACUGACGCUGAGACGCGAAAGCGUGGGGAGCGAACAGG
rnacentral:rRNA from 1 species